rnacentral:lncRNA from 1 species
GCCACUGUGUGUAAACAAGAUCCAAGAGGAAGCAGCUUUUUUUGCAAGACCUAGCACAGAGUUCAGAUUCCCGGUACCAUAA